rnacentral:lncRNA from 10 species
AGCAGACCCUAAGGGCCCAGGCCGGGCCGGACGCCAAGGCGAGGCCCGGGACGCCCUUGGAGAACGAGCGACGUGACACAAGAGGUCCCAAGGGAGCAAACCUGAAAGCCAGAGCCUCCUGAAUACACAAACUGCCGGUGGGCCAGAUGACAUUAGACACUCCUGAGAUACGAGAAGCAUCACUUCCUUCAGACAGAGUCGGUGAGACUAUGAUGUAAUGAGAGUUCUCCCUGUGUUCCUCAGGAAGGCAGCUUGUGCCUUUCUACUUGAGGCAUCAUCUUUGAUGGCUAAAGAAUUCUGCAGCUUGGCCAGCGCGGUGGCUUACGCCUGUAAUCCCAACACUUUGGGAGGCCGAAGCGAGAGGAUCACUUGAGGUCAGGAAUUCGAGACCAGCCUGGACAACAUAAUGAGAAAUCGUCUCUAC